ensembl:lncRNA TRHDE-AS1 TRHDE antisense RNA 1
ACAGCGAGCAUUGUGACCGCGAGCAAUGCCACGAGGGACACAGCGAAGGCCAGCACAAGCCGCUUGUGUACGGCGAUGUGGCGCUCCGUGGUGCGGGGUCGCACUCCCACUGAGUCUGCCCACGGGUCGGAGAGCCCCCUGCUGCCAGCCCGAAGCGCGGCGUCGUCUUCCCCCAUCGCGGCUGCGAAGGCGGCGGCGUUCGGUCCUCUGGGUGGAAUGUGCUCGCAGCAGCAGUGACGGCGGCCACAGCACGGGAGGCACCCGAGCCAUACACCCUGCAGCUGGAGAGAAAAGGAUGGCCGAGGUGGGAGAGACUAGAGUGAACCAGCAGGAGGAAGUCCCAGGGCCGCGAAGCUACGACGGAGAUCCGUCCUGGAAAAGCCUUCUCCACCCUGGGCACUUUAAGCGGCGGUGGCGGCAAACGGCAGGAGGUUGCAGACCCGACAGCGAGACUCCCUCAUUCCAGUCUUGCUCUGCCCUCCGGAGAUGACAAGUGAGAAAGAAGUGUCCGGCCGGGCCAUCCCCUUCAGUUACCAAGAAUAACUGUAAAAUGUGCUGGGAAUGCAAUGUCCUGAGAUAAGGAAGAACUGCCUGAAACAGCCUGGAUCUUAUUCCUGUACUUCCUAGGGAAUGUAACAUCUCAAGUUAAAGAGGAACUGCCCGGAACAGCCCGGGGAUUGUUCCUCUCUCCUGAGAAGGAAGAUUACCUCCAAAGCUCAUCCACUGAGUCACACUGCCCCUGUGGUGGAGGGCGGGCUGCCUUUCCAGGUUCCUCAGCUGUGGUGUAACUGAAGCAGGCACAAUCAAGACUCCAUCUGCUCGAGGCAGCUUUCUCGAACCUUGGGGAACCUACUCACAAUGGAUCACAGGCUUCUUUUGUUUUGUUUCUUGCUGCCUAUCUUGGGAAGCAAAAAUCAGCUGAGUGAAGAUGAGGAAGAAGGUGUUAAAGGUUUGAAGAAAAAAGGAAAAGGAUAUACUAAUCUAAGAGGACAAGUAAGUAGAACAUAGAUAAUGAAAAUGCUGGCCCUUAGGACUGUUGGGCCUAAAUGCUCAUAUUAUAUUGGUAGUCACAAAUUUGAACUUUCUCUAGAGCCAAUUUUUGCAUGUGUGUGCAGGCCUGGAGUAGUUGGAGAGUUGGAUUUAAUAGAAUUGAGGGUCAAGCAACUACAACCAGGGAAGAGUGGGACAAGGGAGAUAAAGGAUAUUGGCAGGGGAGCAAUUAUAAACAUGGACCAUGAUCAAAACUGGACAGGAAGGAAAAUAGAGAUAAGAGGGGUGGAAGGUUAAAAAUAGUGAAAAUGAGAUAGAAUGAAUAGGUUGUAGGUCCCUGUAAAGUUGAAGAAGUAUUAUUAUGCAGUACUCGUUAUUGAAAUGAGGUCACUAUGCUUAAGGCACAGUGAAUCCUAGAAAAUAGUGGUUUUGUUUCUCAUUAGGCAAUACAUUCCUCCUUGCUCCAGAAUGCAACAUACAUGUAUCCUUUUCUGUACUAUUUUUUAUUAAGAAUUCAUACUUAAUUCCACUGACUGCCACUCAAUUUUAAUGUACAGUAGGGAAUUCCUGUACUAUGUAUUAUGAAUCCAUUCCUUUGAAUUUCAUUUAUAAUACUUCAUGACUGACACCUGGCUUUCCACCAAGACUCAAUUUUCAUAGCAAGCCUCAUCAUCAUAAGCCCCCAAAUUAACAGGAUGAGGAGGAAGAAUUGGCAGGCUAAAGAAGAUGAUUAUAUCAAUUAAUGCAGAAAAAGCAUUUGAUAAAAUCCAAUAUUCAUUUGUAAUUAAAAACUCUCAGCAAGUUAGGGAUAGGAAUUACUUCAACUUAAUGAAGAGUGUCUUUAAAAACCUUAUUUUCAUCAGUUAUAACAAAUGUACCACUCUGGUGGUGAAUGUUGCUAAGGAGGGAAGCUAUACAUGUGUGGGGAAAGGAGAUGUGUGAGCAAUUUCUGUACCUUCUACUCAAUCUUCUGUGAGACUAAAAUUGCUG